AAAAUGAGGGAAGCAGGGUGAUCCUAUGCUGCCAAGAAAAUCUUCUAGCGAGGUUCGAGCCGCCCGUACCCCAAACCGACUCAGGUGGUUAGGUAGAGAAUACCAAGGCGAUCGAGUGAAUCGUGGUUAAGGAAUUCGGCAAAAUGCCCCCGUAACUUCGGGAGAAGGGGGGCCCAGACUCUGAAGUCACUUGCUGACUAGGGGAAAGGGCCGCAGAGACCAGGGAGAAGCGACUGUUUACUAAAAACACAGGUCCGUGCGAAGUCGCAAGACGAUGUAUACGGACUGACGCCUGCCCGGUGCUGGAAGGUUAAGAGGACGGGUUAGAUCUUCGGGUCGAAGCUCAGAAUUUAAGCCCCAGUAAACGGCGGUGGUAACUAUAACCAUCCUAAGGUAGCGAAAUUCCUUGUCGGGUAAGUUCCGACCUGCACGAAUGGCGUAACGACUUCUCCACUGUCUCAACCGCGAACUCGGCGAAAUUGCACUACGAGUAAAGAUGCUCGUUACGCGCAGCAGGACGGAAAGACCCCGGGACCUUCACUAUAGCUUGGUAUUGGUGUUCGGGACGGCUUGUGUAGGAUAGGUGGGAGACUUUGAAGCCGGCACGCCAGUGUCGGUGGAGUCAACGUUGAAAUACCACUCUGGUCGUUCUGGAUGUCUAACCUCGGUCCGUGAUCCGGAUCAGGGACAGUGCCUGGUGGGUAGUUUAACUGGGGCGGUUGCCUCCUAAAAGGUAACGGAGGCGCUCAAAGGUUCCCUCAGCCUGGUUUGCAAUCAGGUGUCGAGUGUAAGUGCACAAGGGAGCUUGACUGCGAGAGAGACAUCUCGAGCAGGGACGAAAGUCGGAACUAGUGACCCGGCGGUGGCUUGUGGAAGCGCCGUCGCUCAACGAAUAAAAGGUACCCCGGGGGUAACAGGCUGAUCUUGCCCAAGAGUCCAUAUCGACGGCAUGGUUUGGCACCUCGAUGUCGGCUCGUCGCAUCCUGGGGGUGGAGUCGCUCCCAAGGGUUGGGCUGUUCGCCCAUUAAAGCGGUACGCGAGCUGGGUUUAGAACGUCGUGAGACAGUUCGGUCCCUAUCCGCUGUGCGCGUAGGAAACUUGAGAAAGGCUGACCCUAGUACGAGAGGACCGGGUUGGACGAACCUCUGGUGUGUCAGUUGUUCUGCCAAGAGCACCGCUGAUUAGCUACGUUCGGAAGUGAUAACCGCUGAAAGCAUCUAAGCGGGAAGCACGUUUCAAGAUGAGGUUUCCAUGGGGCUUGCCCCGAGAGGCUCCCGGCUAGACUACCGGGUUGAUAGGCCAGACGUGGAAGUGCAGUAAUGCAUGUAGCUGACUGGUACUAAUAAGCCGAUAACUUGAUC
rnacentral:rRNA from 1 species